rnacentral:rRNA from 1 species
AGAGUUUGAUCCUGGCUCAGAUUGAACGCUGGCGGCAGGCCUAACACAUGCAAGUCGAGCGGAAACGAGUUAUCUGAACCUUCGGGGGACGAUAACGGCGUCGAGCGGCGGACGGGUGAGUAAUGCCUAGGAAAUUGCCCUGAUGUGGGGGAUAACCAUUGGAAACGAUGGCUAAUACCGCAUAAUGCCUACGGGCCAAAGAGGGGGACCUUCGGGCCUCUCGCGUCAGGAUAUGCCUAGGUGGGAUUAGCUAGUUGGUGAGGUAAUGGCUCACCAAGGCGACGAUCCCUAGCUGGUCUGAGAGGAUGAUCAGCCACACUGGAACUGAGACACGGUCCAGACUCCUACGGGAGGCAGCAGUGGGGAAUAUUGCACAAUGGGCGCAAGCCUGAUGCAGCCAUGCCGCGUGUGUGAAGAAGGCCUUCGGGUUGUAAAGCACUUUCAGUCGUGAGGAAGGUAGUGUAGUUAAUAGCUGCAUUAUUUGACGUUAGCGACAGAAGAAGCACCGGCUAACUCCGUGCCAGCAGCCGCGGUAAU